CGGGUGGUAAUGCCGGAUGCUCCAGUUGAUCGCAUGGUCUUCUGGGAAAGCUUUCGCGGUAUGGGAUGGGGUCGCGUCCUAUCAGCUUGACGGCGGGGUAACGGCCCACCGUGGCUUCGACGGGUAGCCGGCCUGAGAGGGCGACCGGCCACAUUGGGACUGAGAUACGGCCCAGACUCCUACGGGAGGCAGCAGUGGGGAAUAUUGCACAAUGGGCGCAAGCCUGAUGCAGCGACGCCGCGUGAGGGAUGGAGGCCUUCGGGUUGUAAACCUCUUUUAUCGGGGAGCAAGCGAGAGUGAGUUUACCCGUUGAAUAAGCACCGGCUAACUACGUGCCAGCAGCCGCGGUAAUACGUAGGGUGCAAGCGUUAUCCGGAAUUAUUGGGCGUAAAGGGCUCGUAGGCGGUUCGUCGCGUCCGGUGUGAAAGUCCAUCGCUUAACGGUGGAUCCGCGCCGGGUACGGGCGGGCUUGAGUGCGGUAGGGGAGACUGGAAUUCCCGGUGUAACGGUGGAAUGUGUAGAUAUCGGGAAAAGAACACCA
rnacentral:rRNA from 1 species